ACGAGAAGCUUGCUUCUCUGAUGUUAGCGGCGGACGGGUGAGUAACACGUGGAUAACCUACCUAUAAGACUGGGAUAACUUCGGGAAACCGGAGCUAAUACCGGAUAAUAUUUUGAACCGCAUGGUUCAAAAGUGAAAGACGGUCUUGCUGUCACUUAUAGAUGGAUCCGCGCUGCAUUAGCUAGUUGGUAAGGUAACGGCUUACCAAGGCAACGAUGCAUAGCCGACCUGAGAGGGUGAUCGGCCACACUGGAACUGAGACACGGUCCAGACUCCUACGGGAGGCAGCAGUAGGGAAUCUUCCGCAAUGGGCGAAAGCCUGACGGAGCAACGCCGCGUGAGUGAUGAAGGUCUUCGGAUCGUAAAACUCUGUUAUUAGGGAAGAACAUAUGUGUAAGUAACUGUGCACAUCUUGACGGUACCUAAUCAGAAAGCCACGGCUAACUACGUGCCAGCAGCCGCGGUAAUACGUAGGUGGCAAGCGUUAUCCGGAAUUAUUGGGCGUAAAGCGCGCGUAGGCGGUUUUUUAAGUCUGAUGUGAAAGCCCAAGGCUCAACCGUGGAGGGUCAUUGGAAACUGGAAAACUUGAGUGCAGAAGAGGAAAGUGGAAUUCCAUGUGUAGCGGUGAAAUGCGCAGAGAUAUGGAGGAACACCAGUGGCGAAGGCGACUUUCUGGUCUGUAACUGACGCUGAUGUGCGAAAGCGUGGGGAUCAAACAGGAUUAGAUACCCUGGUAGUCCACGCCGUAAACGAUGAGUGCUAAGUGUUAGGGGGUUUCCGCCCCUUAGUGCUGCAGCUAACG
rnacentral:rRNA from 1 species